rnacentral:rRNA from 1 species
AUUGAACGCUGGCGGCAGGCCUAACACAUGCAAGUCGAACGGUAGCACAGAGAGCUUGCUCUCGGGUGACGAGUGGCGGACGGGUGAGUAACGUCUGGGAAACUGCCCGAUGGAGGGGGAUAACUACUGGAAACGGUAGCUAAUACCGCAUAACGUCGCAAGACCAAAGUGGGGGACCUUCGGGCCUCACACCAUCGGAUGUGCCCAGAUGGGAUUGGCUAGUAGGUGGGGGAAUGGCUCACCUAGGCGACGAUCCCUAGCUGGUCUGAGAGGAAGACCAGCCACACUGGAACUAAGACACGGUCCAGACUCCUACGGGAGGCAGCAGUGGGGAAUAUUGCACAAUGGGCGCAAGCCUGAUGCAGCCAUGCCGCGUGUAUGAAGAAGGCCUUCGGGUUGUAAAGUACUUUCAGCGGGGAGGAAGGCGGUGAAGUUAAUAGCUUCACCGAUUGACGUUACCCGCAGAAGAAGCACCGGCUAACUCCGUGCCAGCCGCCGCCGUAA